AUUGAACGCUGGCGGCAGGCCUAACACAUGCAAGUCGAACGAGUGGCGGACGGGUGAGUAAUGUCUGUGACCCUCCCCGAUGGAGGGGGAUACCUACUGGAAACGGUAGCUAAUACCGCAUACCAUCAGAUGUGCCCAGAUGGGAUUAGCUUGUUGUUGGGGUAACGGCUCACAAAGGCGACGAUCCCUAGCGGGUCUGAGAGGAUGACCAGCCACACGGGAACUGAGAAACGGUCCAGACUCCUACGGGAGGCAGCAGUGGGGAAUAUUGCACAAGGGGCGCAAGCCGGAUGCAGCCAUGCCGCGUGUAUGAAGAAGGCCUUCGGGUUGUAAAGUACUUUCAGCGGGGAGGCGUUACCCGCAGAAGAAGCACCGGCUAACUCCGUGCCAGCAGCCGCGGUAAUUC
rnacentral:rRNA from 1 species